rnacentral:lncRNA from 13 species
AUGUUACCUCAACUCAGAGAAAUCUCAGCUCCCUGGGGCUCCUGGAAGCUCUGCAUGGGGCACAGAGGCAACAGGUGUGUGACAGGCUCUGGAGCCGAUUACUGUGGCCCUUGUGUAUCCUACUCUGGUUCAUUAUGUCCCAUUCCUCCCUCUGCCCUCUAUCUUCAGGUACUCACUCUAUUUCAGUCCAUUCUCUCUUUUCUCACUGUGACGAAGCUGACUCAGUACCUCUCGUCACUAAUUAUUGAAUUCCCCUUGUUUAGCGCAUUCAUGUGUCCCUAUAUAUCUAGUAAAUAAUUUAUUAUAAAAGUGUACUCUUGUUAUUUCCCUCUUUUGCCAGUAUCAUGGCUAUUUAUUGUGCGUAAGGCUAAUUGUGUGUCGAGCAAAUGUUUGGUCAAGUUGCAUUGUGACGAAUUUCAGUUUCAUAUUUAAAUGCAUUAAUUGUCCCUUUUGCAAUCCUCCAAGUGGAUGCCAUGUUCAGGUGCACAUGGACACCUGCUACACUGACGAGAAAGAAGUUUGUUUAUUUCCAUAUUGUAAUGUGUCCUGUGUUUGAAGUUGGCUCAUCUCGGAGCUCCAUGUCUUGUCUAUCAAUGGGACCAUACGCAGGUUGCAGAACUAUUGUUAUGAAAUGUGUAUUCAUUCAUUUAAAGAUUUCACGCGUUGAGGAUAAGCCAGGAAUGUUUAAGAUGUUUAUUUAGAUGUAAUACGUAAUAUAAUGAAGAUGCCUGUUAACAUGAUUUAAUGGGUAAAGAGCACCAUGUUUAAUGGUAUGUUCCAUAAGUAGGGGCCAUAGGUAUAAAGGUAGCUGUUUCACCUAUGAGCUGUGAGCUGGAGGGAUGUUCUAGCUCUGUUAUGUGAGCUGUUUUGGAGGCUGUCCAUAACCUGGUAUGCCCCAACCUGCUACUAUUGGUUUGGCAGGGUAGGCCUGAUUGAGGCUUAGGGUUUUGAUUUCUAUUCAANNNNNNNNNNNNNNNNNNNNNNNNNNNNNNNNNNNNNNNNNNNNNNNNNNNNNNNNNNNNNNNNNNNNNNNNNNNNNNNNNNNNNNNNNNNNNNNNNNNNNNNNNNNNNNNNNNNNNNNNNNNNNNNNNNNNNNNNNNNNNNNNNNNNNNNNNNNNNNNNNNNNNNNNNNNNNACACACACACACACACACACACACACACACAAGGUCCUUGAUCUGUAAUGUUUAUCUGUUGAAUGCUGACCUGAUCUGUACUUUCAAAAUAAGAUCCCCACCCGGCCUUCUCUCUCUAUCAUUCAGAGAAGAUAUUAGAAAUGUGUGUGUUCAUCCAGCUACCAAGGACUCUUUUAAUUGGUAAAUUGAUUCAGUCUGCCUCCUUAUUACACACACAGACAGAGAGAGAUUUUUUAAAGACCAAUCCAUAGCCAUUGAUCUCUCUCAUGUAAAAGCCCCCUCAGUAUAUAUACAUGAAUGCACACAGAAUGUUGCUAGAGGGUGUGUAUGGUCUCCUAACAGAACAAUGUACAUUAUUCACCUCAUUAAAGACACUAUCUGGAAAAUCUUUCUCUUCCCUCCUCCCUGUUCUCUCUCUCUUUCUCUCUCUCUCUUUCUCUCUUUCUCUCUUUCUUUCUUUCUCUCUCUCAAUUCAAUUCAAGGGGCUUUAUUGGCAUGGGAAACGUGUUAACAUUGCCAAAGCAAGUGAGUUAGAUAAUAUACAAAAGUGAAAUAAACAAUAAAAAUUAACAGUAAACAUUACACAUACAGAAGUUUCAAAACAAUAAAGACAUUAUAAAUGUCAUAUAUAUAUAUAUAUAUAUAUAUAUACACACACACACAGUGUUGUAACAAUGUACAAAUGGUUAAGGAAAAAUAAAUAUGGGUUGUAUUUACAAUGGUGUUUGUUCUUCACUGGUUGCCCUUUUCUUGUGGCAACAGGUCACAAAUCUUGCUGCUGUGAUGGCACACUGGUAUUUCACCCAGUAGAUAUGGGAGUUUAUCAAAAUUGGAUUUAUUUUCGAAUUCUUUGUGGAUCUGUGUAAUCUGAGGGAAAUAUGUCUCUCUAAUAUGGUCAUACAUUGGGCAGGAGGUUAGGAAGUGCAGCUCAGUUUCCACCUCAUUUUGUGGGCUGUGUGCACAUAGCAUGUCUUCUCUUGAGAGCCAGGUCACCCUACGGCGGCCUUUCUCAAUAGCAAGGCUAUGCUCACUGAGUCUGUACACAGUCAGUCACAGUGGUCAGGUAUUCUGCCACUGUGUACUCUCUGUUUAAGGCCAAAUAGCUUUCUAGUUUGCUCUGUUUUUAUGUUAAUUCUUUCCAAUGUGUCAAGUAAUUAUCUUUUUGUUUUCUCAUGAUUUGGUUGGGUCUAAUUGUGUUGUUCUCCUGACCCCUCCUGUCUCAGCCUCCAGUAUUUAUGCUGCAGUAGUUUAUAUGUUGGGGGGCUAGGGUCAGUUUGUUAUAUCUGGAGUACUUCUCCUGUCCUAUUCGGUGUCCUGUGUGAAUUUAAGUGUGCUCUAUCUAAUUCGCUCUUUCUCUCUUUCUUUCUCUUUCUCGGAGGACCUGAGCCCUAGGACCAUGCCUCAGGACUACCUGACAUGAUGACUCCUUGCUGUCCCCAGUCCACCUGGCUGUGCUGCUGCUCCAGUUUCAACUGUUCUGCCUUAUUAUUUUUUGACCAUGCUGGUCAUUUAUGAACAUUUGAACAUCUUGGCCAUGUUCUGUUAUAAUCUCCACCCGGCACAGCCAGAAGAGGACUGGCCACCCCACAUAGCCUGGUUCCUCUCUAGGUUUCUUCCUAGGUUUUGGCCUUUCAAGGGAGUUUUUCCUAGCCACCGUGCUUCUACACCUGCAUUGCUUGCUGUUUGGGGUUUUAGGCUGGGUUUCUGUACAGCACUUUGAGAUAUCAGCUGAUGUACGAAGGGCUAUAUAAAUACAUUUGAUUUGAUUUUGAUUUGAUUUUGCUGUCCUGGGGGUCUGUUUGUGUUUGUGAACAGAGGCCCAGAACCAGCUUGCUUAGGGGACUCUUCUCCAGGUUCAUCUCUCUGUAGGUGAUGGUUUUGUUAUGGAAGGUUUGGGAAUCGCUUCCUUUUAGGUGGUUGUAGAAUUUAACUGCUCUUUUCUGGAUUUUGAUAAUUAGUGGGUAUUGGCCUAAUUGUGCUCUGCAUGCAUUAUUUGGUGUUCUACGUUGUACACGGAGGAUAUUUUUGCAGAAUUCUGCAUCUCUCUCUCUUCAACAAUAGUAGCUAUUUACACAUGCACACACAGUUUUCCCCCUUCUCCACUUAUACUGUAGUCCAGUUUCUUAACAAACACACACACACCUGCUCUUUCCCAACCUUUUAAAAGCAGUGGUAGGGCACAGAACUCCCCAGGACACUAAGCCAUCCAUUAGGGUUGAAUGAAUAAUUAACAGAAAGCAGAAAUUGGUAGGCGAUGUUCAAGAUUGAGAUCUGUAGGGUCUUUUUCACCAGCCUCUCUCUCUGUUUUUUAACUAAGAUGUGUCACUGUCUCUGUGCUAGCUAUAGAGUGGACUCACUGGGUUCUGAAGAUCCUAGUCCUGAAGAU